rnacentral:hammerhead_ribozyme from 15 species
AACUGGUCAGGAGCUUAUGAUGCUUUCCUGAUGAGGUCAUGGUAGGCUGAAACCAGUU